UUUUUUUAACGCGCGAUUAACGCUCUUUUGGCUUGCCAAACGUUGUAGUUGUUUCACCUGCUGUCUAGCAACAACUAGUCACAUUAGAAAAACUACAACAACAUACCGGAUCUAGCUACACCGGAAACAAAACAACAAGAACGCCGCACAAACUUGUUGGGGCAAGCAAGGAUAAUGGAGCGGGUGAAAACUCCUUUAAAGUGUCUGUGUGUUUGUGUGUCACUCUGUUCAAGCCUGAUUGUUUAGACUGGGACCUGGGGUUAUACCACGAACCUCGCUGAACAUACCCAGGCUUUCUUGGGGAAACCUGGCUCGACAGCCGCAACUCGCAGUCAGAGUUAAAUGGUUCCACGACGCUCACUUUAGAUUCAAUUAGUUGUACCAGGUUUUCCGCUUUAGGUUCAAUGCGCGUUCACAAAAGGGGCGUUUCUCGCGUCAUUUGACUCUCUCUUAUGCAAAAUUAAUCGAUCGAGAGCGGUGUAUUUCACCCAAGGCGAGCAGUGUAUUAUUAUGAACUCCUACGAGGAAUUCAAAGUUCAAAUCACAGCCAAGGGGAACACGGUUGCCCAUAAUAUGGCUAGGGUGGCGUGCUGGCAAAAAAUAGCCGACCGUGUUAAUUCGAAAGUGAAAAGAUUCUGCAUAUUGUCUGAAAAAUAUCAUGCAUCAUCAUGCCUUUUAUCCCCAUAGAUGUGUUGCCAGCACGCUCCUACGAACAUGGGGCCGAGUCAAAAAUAAAUAUUAAAAUAUUAUUCAAUGCGGGAAGUUGUAAGCAUCCAUUUGAAUAAUUUCAGGUGAAUCUAGCCUAUGAUUUGCAAUGACCAUAGGCUCCAACCUUUAGUCACAUGUUGAUUACCUGUAGCAAAUAAAAAGAAAACCCAAAUGAAUACGACUGGGAGGGGGACCGCUCCACCACCCUUCACCACUUCGGAGGAGCUGGCUCUCGCCAAUAACGAAGGUCUGCCGAUGAUGGUGGAAGGGGGGAUGACCUCUGACCCCACUGCCUCGACUUCCAAGGCGUUUGUAAUGAUUUAAGGUACAAACAUUAUUUUGGAGGAGCCGCCGACAAUCCAUCUCCAAUCAGAGGAGACUGUCGGCCUGUGACUCCAGGGCGACUAUGGAGGGGAUUUUUCUUAACAAUUCUCACAGCUAUAAUAUGAAUUUGUAGAAUAAAAAAAGCCUAGGCCUAAUUGUGUCACUGACAUAGCAGUUAUGUAAGGGAUAAUGGACAACACGGCGCUUGACUAUCCAAGGUUAAUGUACGUUGAACGUGUGGGGCCACCAUUG
ensembl:lncRNA